UACGUAGGGAGCGAGCGUUAUCCGGAUUUAUUGGGCGUAAAGGGUGCGUAGGCGGUUUGUUAAGUAUGAGAUUUAAGCCCGAAGCUUAACUUCGGUUCGUUUCAUAAACUGGCAGACUUGAGUAUGGCAGAGGUAAGCGGAAUUUCUAGUGUAGCGGUUAAAUGCGUAGAUAUUAGAAGGAACACCAGUGGCGAAGGCGGCUUACUGGGCCACAACUGACGCUGAGGCACGAAAGCGUGGGGAGCAAAUA
rnacentral:rRNA from 1 species